rnacentral:rRNA from 1 species
AUUGAACGCUGGCGGCAGGCCUAACACAUGCAAGUCGAGCGGAGCGGCGGACGGGUGAGUAAUGCCUAGGAAUCUGCCUGGUCGUGGGGGAUAACGUCCGGAAACGGGCGCUAAUACCGCAUACUAUCAGAUGAGCCUAGGUCGGAUUAGCUAGUUGGUGGGGUAAAGGCCUACCAAGACGACGAUCCGUAACUGGUCUGAGAGGAUGAUCAGUCACACUGGAACUGAGAAACGGUCCAGACUCCUACGGGAGGCAGCAGUGGGAAAUAUUGGCCAAUUGGCGAAAGCCGUAUCCAGACAGGCCGCUGUUGUGAAGAAGGUCUUCGGAUUGUAAAGCACUUUAAGUUGGGAGGCGUUACCAACAGAAUAAGCAACGGCUAACUUCGUGCCAGCAGCCGCGGUAAUAC